CAGUGAGAUUUGGAGGUUUUGGACGGCAAAGUAUUCCUCAGAAUGGUAAUGUUGACCCUGCAUGUCUUUAGAGGUUGAUGGCUUAGCUGCCAUGCCAGUCCUCAAGCUUGUCUCUCAACAUAAGAGCCAAGUUCACUGAAAUUCCCUGUUGGUACUGCUUUUAAUAGAUAUGAAAAUAUGAGUGGAGAAUAGCAAAAAAUGGGAAAUUAAACAAUGUCAGUCAAUGUGAAGUUUGUUUUUUCAUGUAAUAACAAAACAGGGAGACCAUGCAGCCACUUUCUGAUAACUGGAUUAAACCUAAACCACUAUGAACAUGGUAUAUGGGCUUUAAAAUUCAACUCAUACCCCUGACUAGCAUCAAAAAAUGAUGAAUCAGCCGCAGUUUCACACAGCAUCCUGUUUUAGACCUUAUAAUGGAAUGAAGAUGAAAACCAAACUUGGAGUCACUGAUUAUUUGAAUGUCCUAUAGAAGCUAAACAGCUAUCACACCACCACAGUAGUUUACCUCAGGAAAUCAUCCACACACCCACACACACAGGAACCUCAGUGAUUUUCAGAAGGGACUUGUCAUGGAAAAUUGCCUCCAUGGUUUUGAAUCCGAACAGCUUUAUUUGGACGGAGUGAAGCGCUAGGGCCUGAAUUAAAAGACGUGGCGUUAGAGAGGCUUAUUUUCAGAGGCUGGACUCACAGUCUGCAUGUUUAGAGCCCUGUGCUCUGGGCUGCUCCUGGAGUCGUGUUUGCAGUGCAGGGAGAGGAGCCAGCACAGAUGGUUAGGUACCAAAGGCAGCAGACUUUUUCUCAUGCCUUUAAAUAGGAGCACUCUCUUUCUUAGCUAAUAUUUAGCUCCUCCAAAUGCUAAUGGAGUGGCUUCGCUCUCCAGGGUUAGCAUAACAACUAUGGGACAGCCUUUAGAUCUCAGACAUUUGUUUACCAGAUGAAAGUGCCUGCACAUAGUAAGAGCAGAGUGGGAGAGUCAGGCCUCUCAGUACUGGAUCUCCUGAACCGCCCCUAGUCAACUGCAAGUCACAAGGCUGCACUCUUUAUUCCAUUUUCCAAACACUUAUUUUCUUCCCUAAUGAUUUUUAGAGGAAACUGUUGUGAUACUCUCUCUCUCUCUCUCUCUCUCUCUCUCUCUCUCUCUCUCUCUCUCUCUCUCUCUCUCUCUCUCUCUCCCUCUCUCUCUGUGCUUUAGAGGAGGAUUCAGAUUUCCUAUCAUAAUAAAUGAAAGAUAAAAGCUGGGAGAAUAAAAUAUAGAUGCAUAACUUGAAUAAACAGUUGCGACCCUGUCACACAGCCAUGAUUUGGAAAACUAAUUCAGGGAUGUUUUGUAUGUUUUCAUAUCUUGUAAUAAAAUUAAUGAUACCAAAGUUUUAAAUUCUAUAGUCUAAAAAUGAUCAAUAAUGUGUCAUAAUGUUUUUAACACUGAAUUUUUAACUUCAGGUUAUAUGGUAAAGAAAACAACAGCUUCUUGAAACUGUUACAUUUCCAUGGUAUACAGUAACAUACCGUACACCCACAGCAGCUGCAUAAACGCACAAGGGGAAGGAUGCUACUGCUGACACCCUGAACAAGUCCUCAAGGUAACAGCGGAGUCGAUCAGCAGCACCAUGGACCAAGCAAGCAAGACACCAAAUAAUAUUUGCAAAAGCAGGUAAACAUCAAAAACCCAAACCCUGGCUCCAUUAACUUCAGAAUUGAGGAAGAGAGGAGGGAUGUCUUCAAGUAAGUCCAGUUGCCCUUUCAAUGGAGAAGUGAAAACAUAUCAUGUACCACAUAACCCAUGGGCUCAUUAACAUUCUACUCCCUCUCUCCUCUGUCCAUCUCUCGCUCCCUCUCUCUCUUUCUCUCCACUCUCUAAGCCCAGUUCAGUCUCAGUCCAGUCCAGUUCUGCUGGAGGUUUCUGCCUGUUAAAAAAAGUUCUUCCUCUCCACUGUAACUUCAUAAAUGCUGGACAGCAUUUCACUCAUGUGGUUGAAGAUGAGGAUGGGAGUGGGUCUGAUCUUACAGGAUGAGAAAGGAAAACAAAUUAUGCAACUACAGAGUGCUCUGUUUUCCCCUUCAUUUGAUUCAUUGUUAGGUUGAAGAAAAUGAUUUAUAUCACUAUGGAAACACCAAAAGCAGAAAAACAUUAGAUCAAAACACAGCAGCCUUAGUUCUGAUCAGGGCACUCAAAUAUUAUUGACAUGUUCCUUUGAGUGAGAUAACUGGAGUUAUUAAAUAUGCAUCAAAAAAGAAGAAAGAAAGAGUGGCCUAUAAAAAGGCUCACAGUACAUAGCAGCAUCCCCCCCUCUGAACAGUUUCAGGGGCAAACAACUCAUAUUAUACUUCAAAACUGUAAUAAAGCACUAUCUUUCCUGCAUCUCCGUAAUGCAUUAUUCACUUCCAGUUGCCAAGAGGAGACUCUAGAGGAUGGUUAAGAACCCACUACAAUAUUUAUGUAGCAUGCUGCAGUGCUUUCACACACACGCACACGCACACGCACGCGCGCGCACGCACGCACGCACGCACGCACGCACGCACGCACACACACACACACACACACACACACACACACACACACACACACACACACACACACACACACAAAACCAUAUCAGCCCCAGUUUGCUGCCAAGAAUCCAUAUGGGUAGACUACCUUUAUCUCUGCGGAUGAACAACACCAAACUCUAACACCUCACAGAUACUGUUAGUGUGUGUGUGUGUGUUUUUUUUCCUGCUUGUGUCCAGCUCUCUGUAGUUAAAGUCCAUUACAUCUUUAGACUUCCUCCCUUCCUCAUCACACUAUCACUUUCCUCCAGUGUUGGCCCACAUAGUGUAGAUUGUUUAUGUCUGUUUCAGGAUCCAGGCCAGCCAUGACUUCCUUCACUUGGGAUUUCUAUACUAAGAGCAUUCUCAGCCAUGAUCUAUUUGAAAAUGGGGGUGGAGGCACAUUCCUCAGAGAUGCUAAAUAUAUUUCUGAAGAGGUUCAAAAAGCACAUCUGAUUUAAGAGCUCAGCUAAGUGCAGUACAUCCAACUCCUCAAAAGAAGUGGACUUUAGUUUGGGUAAUCAUUAAUGAUGAGAUUAUACUGCAUGAUGACAGUAAUAAUGAUAUAGGUGCUGCUGGUCAUUGGGGGAUCAUGAUGAUCUCUGCUCUGCUUUUUGCAUUGGUCACCCUUGUUGAAAAUGCCUGAGCCUGAAAGAAAGUCUGACGUAAAAAAAAGUUUACUGCUUCGUAUUUGUUCAGCAGACCAGGAGGGACAAUUCAGGUGAAAACUCCAGACUUUACAAACGUUUAGUUGUUAAAUGAGUGAAUCAUUGCGGAUUUGAAAACUACUACAACCUUAGCACUGACUUCUGAAUAUUGAUUUAGUUAGUUUCAAGACAGAAAACAUUAAGACUAAAAGUACCGACCUCUGAUCAUCUGUUGUAGUUGUAGAGGACAUACGUGUUUUUAAUCCUGUGACCGUCUGUGAUUUGUAAAGUAAAAAUUCUCAGCCAAACCAAGGACCAUAUUUCAGCACACAUGGAGGUCCUCUCAUAAUAUUUAGACAUUUUAAAUUGACAUUGGCAGUUUUGUCUAACGAAGGUUUCUGCAGCAUUUUUCUGUCUCUGUUAAAAAAUUAUCAUAUCGGGUGCAAAUGUAGCUGUAUCACUUUGUUACACAGUGAAAUUAAAUGCAUGUACCUCAGUGGAUAUAUGGAUCAUAACAACAAAUAAAAUACAGAGUAAAUUGUCUCUUCGCCCUGUAUGUCCAAAAAUGAUGGUAAUAAAAAACAAGAUAGUAACAGUCUAUCUCGCUCGCUCUGUUUUGCAGCAGAUUAAUACAUAAUCAAAUAAAUACCUCACCAAAAAACUUACUUUGAUUUGUUGGAUUGUACUGUUCCUUUUUUGUGUUUUAUUGUAAAGUUACUGGUAAAUUUUGCAGGCAGAGAAAAAGCCUCCCAUAAACUCUGAUGGAGACCCAUUUGAAGAAAAAGCAACUAGCUCCAUCAAAGAUCCAGAUGUUCAAGGUUGAUGAAUGACAUGCUUUACAGUGCGGGGAAAGGAAUAUUUUCUCUCCUUAAAAUGGAUUAAAAGCCUUUGUAGGCAACGUUACAAAACCUGACAAACACAAGGUGCACCAUGUCACCUUAUUAGUGCAGAGCUUUAUUCAUUGUGAUCUUGUUAUGUCCUAAAGUUUUUAAUGCACAUGCAAUAUUGAUCUAUUGACAGGAACGGCAGAGACUGAAACACUGCUGAUUGUGCAUGUUCCUAUAUUAAAGGUCAGUGAGGAAGAAAGUUCAUGCUACAGUCUCAGUUUGGCUAUGACAUUGUUGAAGCAAAAUAUUCACUAAGACUUAAACUUAUUUAUUAUACACUAGUCAAAAGAAGUUAGUUCAGAGUCAAUUUAAGGAGGAAUAAUGGUCGUUAAAACUCUAAAUGUACUUUAAUGUAGGAAUUGUAUCAUGUAUGUAUUUUUGAUUUAUGAGAUAAACCUGAAAUCAUUGUAUCAUGUAGUAUUGGAGCCAAAAGAGUGCAGCAGUAUAACAUGAAAAAGAAAACUGUAAAAGUGACCUGUUCCUCAAGCAUCAUGUGAAAAAGAGGUGGACAUGCAGUGAAGUUUUCCUCCGUGGUGUUACUGUCCCCUGUCAUAACCUCCCAGAUCCCAAUCUGAGAAUGUGAUCAGCUCUGGACGCACACAAACUGACUCAUACAAGCUCGAAGUCACUGAGUCCAGAUUCAGAAGCCUGAUACUCUGCAGUCAGUCAGGGAGGCUUUUGUGGCUAUUUCAGGGUGUUUGAGGUCAGGGCAUUCAAAGAGCUGUCGGCUCAUGGUCGGUAGAAUGAAUGAAUAAGAGAGAGAGAGAGAGUACUGCAGAGACGGUUUGUGUGUGUGUGUGUGUGUGUGUGUGUGUGUGUGUGUGUGUGUGUGUGUGUGUGUGUGUGUGUGUGUGUGUGAGAGAGAUAGAGAGAUAGAGAGUGAGCACACACUUUCACUCACAGACAGAGAGGAGGAGAUAGGGCUCUUUGUGCCGAUGUGUUGGCUGACCUUGUGCACUCAGUGAUGGGCCUGUAUCUGCGCUCACACAAUAGAGGAGCAAAAUGGGAUUCUUAGAUACAUCAGCGCACAGUGGAGGAAGAAGAGACUGGAUCUCACUGAUGCAGCGGGCCUCA